GACGAACGCUGGCGGCGUGCUUAAUACAUGCAAGUCGAACGGAAAGGUCCUGCUUUUGUUGGGCGCUCGAGUGGCGAACGGGUGAGUAACACGUGAGUAACCUGCCCUUGACUUUGGGAUAACUUCAGGAAACUGGGGCUCAUAUCGGAUAGGAGCUCCUGCUGCAUGGUGGGGGUUGGAGAGUUUCGGCGGUUGGGGCUGGUCUCGCGGCUUAUCAGCUUGUUGGUGGGGUAGUGGCUUACGAAGGCUUUGACGGGUAGCCGGCCUGGGAGGGUGAACGGCCACAUUGGGACUGAGAGACGGCCCAGACUCGUACGUGAGGCAGCAGUGGGGAAUAUGGCACAGCGGGCGGAAGCCUGAUGCAGCGACGCCGCGUGCGGAAUGACGGCCUUCGGGUUGUAAACCGCUGUCGACUGUGACGAAGCGUUAGUGACGGUAAUGGGUAAAGAAGCACCGGCUAACUACGUG
rnacentral:rRNA from 1 species